AUGCAGUGGGUGGGCCUGAGCUCGCCGCCGGCGGCGCCGACGGCGGUAUGGAUGCGGCGCCGUCCAAGAACAACGAGAUGGCCGCAGAGGAGCUCGUCCGCCGCACGGAGGGCGGUCGUGGCGGCCGCGUCCUCGUCCCCACCGUCAUCCGAUGCCAACUCGAGCUCCAACUCGCCGGGUAGUGACGAGGAGGCGGAGGAGGCCGCGGGGAAGGCGGAGGGUGACAAGACGGCGGCGGCCUUCUUGUUGAGGAGCCAGAAGUACGCUAUGCUCAAGCAGCAGCUCGCCGUAGCCGCCCAACUCGAGGAUUACAAGGAGGCGGCGAGGCUGAGGGACUCGUUGAGGUUGUUCGAGGAAGAAGAGCCCGUCCUCCGCCUCCGCCGCUCGCUGAAGAAGGCGGUCGAGGAGGAGAGGUUUGCGGAUGCUGCCAAGUACAGAGAUGAACUGAUGAUUUUGGCUCCGCACUCCCUCCUCAAAUGUUCUAGUGAUGCUACAACUCUGGGGAUAAGGGUUCAAGUCAGGAGUGUCUAUAUUGAAAGCCGGAGCCAACCCUUAAAGGGGAAGUUCUUUUUUGCCUACAGAAUCAGAAUUACAAAUAAUUCUCAGCGUGCUGUACAGCUUCUCAGACGACACUGGAUUGUCACUGAUGCGAAUGGAAGGACAGAGAAUGUUUGGGGUGUUGGUGUAGUGGGAGAGCAACCUGUGAUAUUCCCAAAGACGGGUUUUGAGUACUCAUCCGCAUGCCCACUAAACACUCCAAAUGGGAGAAUGGAAGGUGAUUUUGAGAUGAAGCACAUUGACAAGGUUGGAUCCUCGACAUUCAAUAUCGCUAUCGCACCAUUCUCUCUGUCAAUCCUCGGGGACGACAACGACGCUCCCCUCUGA
rnacentral:rRNA from 1 species